UUUGACGCAGUUUCAUCUCCUUCCUGAUGCAUCCUGAGCCCCUCAGUGCCUAGCUCCUGCGUAAGCGCUGUAAACUGGACCAAGUGGAUUGAAAUGGCCAGAAAUUGAUCUUGAUCACUUUAGAUAUUUUAUGACAAAGGAAAACAAUCAUUUCUGUCCAGUUAAAAUCCAUUUGAGCCAGUUUAAGCUAUUUGUGUAGAGCUGGAGCCUGAGGUCGGCAAGCUCAGGAAGAUGGCUGAAGACUAUGCUGACUCAAGGCCAGACAAGGAUCCAGGUUUCUUGGAUGGCAGAUUCACUUUUUUCUCGACUUCACGCUGGACCUGUGGUGACUGGAAACCUUGAGAUGUGAUGAGGAAACUGAGGCUCAGAGAAGUCCUAUGACUUGUCCAAGGCCAUGAAGCUAAGGCACAUCAGGACUAUGCACAACUACGUCAUGUUGGGCUGGGUGCCUGGAGUUGAUGAGAGUAUUGUGAAGAUAUAUGAUCAGCCUGCAGCCCAGCAGGUCCUGGAGGAUAAGGUUGGAACACAGCUGAGCUAUUACACAGGCCAAAUGGCAUGAGCACUUAUUCAUAAUGUCUGUACCUUCCCCGGAACAUUGUCCACUAUAGACACUUGGAAGGACCCAUUUAUAAGAAGACAUGGAGAUCUUCCCUUUAAUGAUCAGGAAAGUGUGGUCUAAAGAGGGGCAGGGACCUCUCCAAGUUUUUCUACUUAAUGAUUUUGUCCCUGAUAGUGCCAGAAAUUAAUUUUUAAUAUAAUCUAGAAAAUUUAGGCUUCAAAGCACACUCAUUUUUGAGGCAAGACCAAAUCCCCUGUGAAACUGGCUACAAGAUAGGUCUGUAGGGUUGUGUUUUCAUUUCUUCCUGAUUAUUAGAUAAGCUAACAUCAUGGAAAUGUAAAGGUACACACUCAGAGAAUCAGGCAGACUGGGACUAAUUCCCUUUCUGGAGCCCAGAAGGAAAUAUACUAAUUUUUUUUUUUUU